GACGAACGCUGGCGGCGUGCCUAAUACAUGCAAGUAGGACGCAGUUGCGAACGGGUGAGUAACGAGUAUGUAACUACCUAUUAGAGGGGGAUAACUAUUGGAAACGAUAGCUAAUACCGCAUACUAGUAGAUGUACCUGCGUUGUAUUAGCUAGUAGGUAGGGUAAUGGCCUACCUAGGCAACGAUACAUAGCCGACCUGGGAGGGUGAGCGGCCACGCUGGGACUGAGACACGGGCCAGAAUCCGACGGGGGGCAGCAGUAGGGAAUCUUCGGCAAUGGGGGGAACCCUGACCGAGCAACGCGGCGUGAGUGAAGAAGGUUUUCGGGGCGUAAAGCUCUGUUGUUAAGGAAGCGGUACUUAACCAGAAAGGGAUGGCUAACUACGUGCCAGCAGCCGCGGUAAUUC
rnacentral:rRNA from 1 species